rnacentral:lncRNA from 11 species
AGAAAUUCUCAGGCAGUUUCAUAUUCACAGAUAGGAAGCCUUGGACAAAUAUGAAGUCGUUGAUGGGCUACUUGCAAGGGAGUGUUUACUGCAAAACCAAAAGUUAGGGAGCAGUAUUGAGAAAAGAAAGUACAGGAGGAUGCAGAGGUUUGUGAAUUAGCCUUGAGCUUUCUUAGUCACAUGGUGUCCUUCAAGAACUAUGCAGAACUCAUGAUUUCCAUGUGACAUUGUAGAGGAGUCAUGGUAUUAGACUGUCACAACAAGAAGAAGGGUCAUGGUGCAGUAAACAUAACUAGAGAUAAAAGGAAUUUACAUCCUUCUCAGAACCAAAGACUGUAUUACAAAAUUGAGAAAAGUGAAAGAUCUAAAGGAUAUCAUCAUUUCUAUCUGCAAUUUUGUAUGGAAUUGAAAUCAACUAAAAAUACAAAUGAAGUAAUAAGGAACAAAAUCUUGAAGAACCCACAGCAUAAUCACUUCAUGGCUUUAAGACAUUGA